rnacentral:lncRNA from 1 species
AUGUACCGGGCACGUGAAGCCCUGGCCUAUGGCGUGGCCUUCCUAGUUCUGGGUUUAGUGAAGACCUCAAACAUUAAUGUUGGAAGGAUCAUUCAGAACCAUCAAGCGUUUCUUAAGGCGGCUUUGUGGCAUUUGAAGCAAGACUUUUCCUCGUUUUCAGGACUGCCUCAGGAUCCUGGAGGACACCAGCUCCUAAGUAAGCCCAGUCCUGUUUCCUGUCAGCUGCCCUGCACUCUCUGGACCAUGGGGACGCCUGCACGCCUGCAGCUCGCACCUGCACAGGCCAGAGCUCAGGUAUCCACAGGCCAUAUCCUGAAGGUACUUUCUGCACUGUCUGUUUUUUGGGGAGGGGUGUGGGCCUGCCUAAAGCUACCAACUUUACACAUGCCUUCAUUUCUCAUUCCCAGUGUUGGCAAAGAGGUAGGGAAAGAAUAUUCUCAUUCUGUUGGUGAGAGUUUCAGUGGACUCAAAUCUCCAGAGGCCACAUUGGACCACAUGCACUGAAAUACUGAAAUGUACCUAACUCGUGACCCAGUGAUCCCUCUUCUAGGAACUUAUCAGAGGAUUGCUUUAAGAAGAGUAAAGGCAAUUCCAAAAUGCCAACAGCUGGGGAUAGGGCACGUAAACCAUAGUACACGAAUAAAGUAGAAUCCAACUAGCUCUCAGAAACAUCAGUGUAGCUCUAUACACCUGUACCUGUAUAGAAUGCUGUAGUGUAUAAGUGAAAUGUGAUUAUCAACCAUAGGUAACACUUUCCAAGUGCUCACUAUGCACCCUGCACUAUUCUAGGAACCCCACAGAUAUUAACUCAUUUCAUCUGCACACAGUGACAGUUGGGAAAGCACUGUCACUGAUCCCAUUUUACAGGGGCUCAAAGAGGUUCUGUGACUUGCUUAAGGCACACACUUGUGACUAAGCUGAGAUAGUCUCAAGAGCCUAUGUUCCUCAGUGCCAUGAUUCUACUUCUGUUUAGAGUCCUGUGUAUUCUAAAACAAUAAAUGGUCUCUGUGUGUGUGUAUUCAAGAAAGUCUGGAAGGACUGGAAUGAGAAUAUUAAUUGAGGCAUUAUUAUAGGAAUACAUUUUUGGAAUAAAUUCAGAGUAAAUUUGCUAUGUGAUAUUAGUUUUUCUCUCCAGUUCUACAUGAAACCUGUGCUUAGGAGGAGGUUGAAGAACAAACACCACUCUGUUUCAGAUGGUAGAUUGAGUGUCACUAAUUUUGACAAAAGGGUGAGAAUGAUCAGCUCUGGGUUUUUUUUUUUUUCAGUUUCAAGUCUGUAUCACUGAGGAAGUACCUUCAGUGGUCUUUCUGAAUAGUGUUCUUUUAAAUAAUGUUUAGAAUUCUCCACAUGUUGCA